GAUUGCAUACAUAAGCAUAAUGCACUUCCAAUUUCACAUGUAUAGAAAUUUUUUACAGUAACAAUCAAAAAAUGUACUUGAUGCAAUGUAUUUUCAUUAUUCCACUUCACUUGCAUCUCCUAAAAUAUCAGGAAUAUUGUCUUCAGCUUCCUUCGCAUAGUACUUGAGCAAUUAUAGUAAAAAAAUCUUGGUUGACUUGUAACCAUCCUGCAUGAGUACUUCAUACAGUUAGCAUGAAGAUUUCACAUGAAAAUGUAAGAACGUGCAAACAUAGAGUACUCAACUUGUAAAUUGGAUGAACCAAUUUUUUACCAUUCCAUGAGAGCAUAUUAAAAUCAAAAACAAAAUAACUCAACACAUUAAUGAAAUAAAUAAAUAUUUAUUAUCUCGAUUAUAAUGAUGAUAAAUAAUUGUAUGUAUCUUGAAUAUAAAAAUAGAAUAGACAAAUAUGAACAGCCUCCCACAAAAAGGAAAAGCCACUCCUCGCCUCUCACCACACAAGCACAUCACACAUCCCUUAUCCCCACCGCAUAAGGCACAACUUCAGCAACUCACAUGGCGUAGUCUUCAGCUUCUCUCCCUGCCACUGCGCCUCUUGUCCCAUCACAACACGUCCCCCGACUCCUCUCCCCACCAGCCAUCGCUUCCUUUCCCUAUCUAUGGGUCGAUCUGUAGCGUAGAUAAGCGACAAUUGCUGGCCUAAAUUCUAUUGUCUGCAUGCAGUGGCUGAUGGACCACGCCCUACCGAGGAAAGCAACAACGGGGCCAUAGGUAACAGGCAUCGACAACGUCAGUGGAACCAGAAACAAUGCCAUCAAACAUGAGCGGCGACCUUGACCAAGCUCCAUGUAGGUUAGUUCUUCCCCUUUCUUGUCAUGUUUUGUCUCUGUUCUCAAAUGAAUUAUUCAUAUAUUCAAGAAACGUAAAGAAAAAUAAUAAUCUCACGUGUAUCUAUCAAAUAAAAAUUGUGCAGCAAACUUGCAGUGAACUUCGUUGAUAGUGAAUUUAAUUGCUUAUAUGAUGAAUGCAGAAAGAAUUACUAAGAGAUAGUAACAACUGACAUGAAGUAAAUUCGGUAGUCCAUUGUUGAUUAGAAAUGUAUGAUAAUAUGGCUCAGAGAUGCAAUAGAACAAUGGAAGGGUUGCACUUGAAGAUCAAAUAGGACAACUCUGAGCAGUCUAUGGUCACAAGUUGUUUAGGCCCUAGAUCUCAAGCAUCAACUCUAUCAGGAAGGGAAUAAAGUGAACCAACUUCACAAGAAACAAAAAUAUAGGAUUUCUAUUUAUAUGAUAUGGGAGUCAUAGACAAUUGACAUGUGAUGAUAUUUCAUGCUUGUGAUUUGUAGAUAAAUGCAUCUCCUCGUCAUCUUUCUAUUCCCCUCCCUAUCUCACAAUCAUUUCUUCUUCAUGUGUUUCUCAUGGGGCCAAGCAUAAUCAUUGAUAUGAAUAGUCAUUAAAAUAUCAAAUCACUACAACCAACAAUCCAUCAUCUGCUCCAAAAUUGACCACAAGAAAUAAACCAAUUGCAAGAGACUGAAGUACAACCAAGGCUUCAGAUUGCAAAUAAAAUAAAAUAAAAUGUGCUCCAUUAUUUUAGCUAAAAUAACAGGUAAAGGUAUUAUUAGUUUUUUUCCGCAUUGCCAGUGAUGUAUAUGCUUGUAACAUAAUCACAAUCUCUUCAAAAAUUAACACAUCACUUCUCAUUUUAGAAAGUUUUGAGUGUUACAGGCAUAUAAAUAUAAGACUUAACUCAAUUGCCAAUAAUGUGAGCUUGACUGAACUAAUGGGUAGUGUGAUGCAUUCCCCAAUCAUUUGACUUUGAAAUUUCAGAAAUGGAAAGAUUAUAACUAACCAGUUGAAAGAAACUUCAGUCAAAGAUGCCAGUACAACUCCACCGAAAAAUGGUACGAGAGAACCUACUA
rnacentral:lncRNA from 1 species